rnacentral:lncRNA from 1 species
AGGAGGGACCUUCGAAGGGUCCAGCUAGCUCGGACCAACAGUGAGUGGACUUUUCUUUCUUAAACGGUUUUAUGAUUAUAUUUUCUAUUUGAUUUUGAAUAAGUGUUAUAGCAUGAAUUUUAUUGUGAAAUAUCUUUAUUUUUCUUAUAAAAUUUAGCCGAGCAAACAGAUGUGAGGUUCUUGAUACAGAAAUAGUAAUUUAGCUCAGAUUUACCAGAAUACAGUGGAUUAUCAGAAUUUAUCAGAGAUAGUUAUUUUAGAACCACCGUGUACCCAUUAUCUUUGGUGAUAACCCACAGUCGGACCGAUGUCUACGGACAUCCAGUCUAAUUUCAGUUACGUCAGUGCACUUGACUUUGCCUCACGAGUUUCGGGGACGCUCGGACCGUGAGUGCCAGGAUUUGCGGCUCGGCAGACUUGGUGUCCCGAGACCUGCCAGGAUUUGCGGCUCGGCUGACUCUGUGUCCCCGAGACCUGCCAGGAUUGCGGAUCAGGCUGACUGCGGUCCCCUGCAUCCUGCCAGAGCGGCUCGAGUCGACUUGGUGUCAUCGAGACCUGCUGGCGGGUCAGGCUGAUCAUAGUCCCUUGAUUUCGCCAGUUUGCGGCUCGGGUAGACUGCGUGACGCCCGAGACCUGCCAGGGGAAUUGACGGACAUGACAGGGGUACAACUAGGUGGUAGUUUCAAAGGAUUUUGAGCUCUUUUAUCCAGUUAUGAUUUCCCGUGAUUUUAUACCAGUUUCUUUGAUAUUCAUGCGUUAUUAUCUUUAUAUAUUUGAUCAGUUAUGCAAGUCUAUUCAUCAGUAUAUUUAUUCAUGUUUAUUGAAUUCCUUAUAUUGAAAUAUAGCUAAAUUAACGAUUUAUAUCCCUAGUAUUUCAAAACGGGGGUUAUUAUGUUCUAAAUUGUUUUUAAGAACUUUAUUUUUUGUCCACUCACAACUUUAAACUUGUUUUUCGCCCCCAGGCCGUAGAAGUACGAAGGAAACCACUCGGGCCAUCUUCCCAGCUUCCGCCCCACCACCAAAGUGUAGGAUUUCAUUGUAAAUUUCUUAAAGUUCUGUAAAUGUGUAGAAAUGCUCUGAUAUCUAGUUGGAACUGAAAAACUGGAGUUGAGUUUUGUGUUUGGAGAUAUUCUGGCCGUUGUUAUGG